AUUUAAUUGAUUAUUAUUUUUUUUUAUUUUUAUUAUGGUGGCGAAAGUAGUUAUUUUUUAUUAUUAUUUUAGAAAAAAUUUUUUUAAUGAUAGUUAAUUAGUACUGUGAAGGAAAUUUUUUAAAUUUUUAAAAGAAGAAGUGAUUUUGUACCUUGUGCAUCAGGGUUGAUUAAAUUUUAAAUAUUUAUUUAUUUUUCUCGAAUUUAAAAGAGCUAACUAUAUAUUAAUAUUAAUGUGGAAUAAUUACUUAAAAUAUUUAGUUAGAUGUGAAAUGCUAUUCGAUUUUAAAUAUAUCUAGUUUCUUAAGAAAAAAGUUUAAUUUUAUAGUUAGUGUUGAAUUUUCUUUUUUUUAAGUAAAUUUUUACUGAUUUUUUAUUUUUAAAGGGAUAAGCUUUUAAAAAAAAAAUUAUAAUAAAUAAAUUUAAUAAAUAAAUCGUAGGAUUAAUAUUUUCCAUAGAUAAAAGAAUGUUAUAAUUAAUUAUUAGUAACUUAUUAUUUAUAUUUUAUUUAAAUUUUAUAUUAAGAUUUUUUAUUUAAUUUUAUAUUAAAAUUAAUAAUGAUUAAAUUAGUAAAUAUUUUAUGUAUAUUAUUUUAUAUUAUUUAAGGUAAACUUAAGGAACUCGGCAAAUAUUCUUUUCACCUGUUUAUUAAAAACAUGUCCUUUUGAGUAUAAUUUAAGGUCUAGCCUGCCCACUGAGUAAUUAAAUGGCCGCGGUAUUUUGACCGUGCAAAGGUAGCAUAAUCAUUAGUUUUUUAAUUGAAAGCUGGUAUGAAUGGUUGGAUGAGAAAGAAGCUGUCUCAAGUUUAAUUUUUUUGAAUUUUAUUUUUAAGUUAAAAAGCUUAAAUAUUUUUAAAAGACGAGAAGACCCUAUAGAAUUUUAUAUUUUUAAAUUUAAAUUUUUAUGGAUUUUUAUUAUUUUUAAGUUUAAAUUUAUUUUGUUGGGGUGACGGAAAAAUUUAUUUAACUUUUUUUUUAUUUUUACAUUAAUUAAUGAUUAGUUGAUCCGAUUGUUUCGAUUAUAAGAUAAAAUUACCUUAGGGAUAACAGCGUAAUUUUUUUUGAGAGUUCUUAUCGAAAAAAGAGAUUGCGACCUCGAUGUUGGAUUAAAGUUAAUUUUUGGUGUAGCAGCUAUAAAAUUAAGUCUGUUCGACUUUUAAAACUUUACAUGAUCUGAGUUUAAACCGGUGUAAGCCAGGUUGGUUUCUAUCUUUAAAUUAUUGAAAUACCUUAGUACGAAAGGACCAGGUAUUUAAUUUAUUAAAUUUUUAUUAUGAAUACUAUU
rnacentral:rRNA from 1 species